CGCAGUGCGGGUGCUAUACAUGCAGUCGAGCGGACAGAUGGGAGCUUGCUCCCUGAUGUUAGCGGCGGACGGGUGAGUAACACGUGGGUAACCUGCCUGUAAGACUGGGAUAACUCCGGGAAACCGGGGCUAAUACCGGAUGGUUGUUUGAACCGCAUGGUUCAAACAUAAAAGGUGGCUUCGGCUACCACUUACAGAUGGACCCGCGGCGCAUUAGCUAGUUGGUGAGGUAACGGCUCACCAAGGCAACGAUGCGUAGCCGACCUGAGAGGGUGAUCGGCCACACUGGGACUGAGACACGGCCCAGACUCCUACGGGAGGCAGCAGUAGGGAAUCUUCCGCAAUGGACGAAAGUCUGACGGAGCAACGCCGCGUGAGUGAUGAAGGUUUUCGGAUCGUAAAGCUCUGUUGUUAGGGAAGAACAAGUACCGUUCGAAUAGGGCGGUACCUUGACGGUACCUAACCAGAAAGCCACGGCUAACUACGUGCCAGCAGCCGCGGUAAUACGUAGGUGGCAAGCGUUGUCCGGAAUUAUUGGGCGUAAAGGGCUCGCAGGCGGUUUCUUAAGUCUGAUGUGAAAGCCCCCGGCUCAACCGGGGAGGGUCAUUGGAAACUGGGGAACUUGAGUGCAGAAGAGGAGAGUGGAAUUCCACGUGUAGCGGUGAAAUGCGUAGAGAUGUGGAGGAACACCAGUGGCGAAGGCGACUCUCUGGUCUGUAACUGACGCUGAGGAGCGAAAGCGUGGGGAGCGAACAGGAUUAGAUACCCUGGUAGUCCACGCCGUAAACGAUGAGUGCUAAGUGUUAGGGGGUUUCCGCCCCUUAGUGCUGCAGCUAACGCAUUAAGCACUCCGCCUGGGGAGUACGGUCGCAAGACUGAAACUCAAAGGAAUUGACGGGGGCCCGCACAAGCGGUGGAGCAUGUGGUUUAAUUCGAAGCAACGCGAAGAACCUUACCAGGUCUUGACAUCCUCUGACAAUCCUAGAGAUAGGACGUCCCCUUCGGGGGCAGAGUGACAGGUGGUGCAUGGUUGUCGUCAGCUCGUGUCCUGAGAUGUUGGGUUAAGUCCCGCAACGAGCGCAACCCUUGAUCUUAGUUGCCAGCAUUCAGUUGGGCACUCUAAGGUGACUGCCGGUGACAAACCGGAGGAAGGUGGGGAUGACGUCAAAUCCUCCUGCCCCUUUUUUCA
rnacentral:rRNA from 1 species